rnacentral:rRNA from 1 species
CAUGUCCUUUUGAUUAUAAUUUAAGGUCUGGUCUGCCCACUGAGGAAUUAAAUGGCCGCGGUAUUUUGACCGUGCAAAGGUAGCAUAAUCAUUAGUUUUUUAAUUGAAAGCUGGAAUGAAUGGCUGGAUGAGAAAGAAGCUGUCUCAAAUUUAUUUUUUUUGAAAUUUAUUUUUAAGUUAAAAAGCUUAAAUGAUUUUAAAAGACGAGAAGACCCUAUAGAAUUUUAUAUUUUUUUAUUUAAAUUUAAGUGGUUUUUUAUUUUUUUUAAAUUUUAAAGUAUUUUGUUGGGGUGAUGGAAAAAUUAAUAUAACUUUUUUUUUAUUAUUACAUUAAUUAGUGAGUU